rnacentral:rRNA from 1 species
UCUGUAACUGACGCUGAGGAGCGAAAGCGUGGGGAGCGAACAGGAUUAGAUAUCCUGGUAGUCCACGCCGUAAAACGAUGAGUGCUAAGUGUUAGGGGGUUUCCGCCCCUUAGUGCUGCAGCUAACGCAUUAAGCCACUCCGCCUGGGGAGUACGGUCGCAAGACUGAAACUCAAAGGAAUUGACGGGGGCCCGCACAAGCGGUGGAGCAUGUGGUUUAAUUUCGAAGCAACGCGAAGAACCUUACCAGGUCUUGACAUCCAAUGACAAUCCUAGAGAUAGGACGUCCCCUUCGGGGGCAGAGUGACAAGGUGGUGCAUGGUUGUCGUCAGCUCGUGUCGUGAGAUGUUGGGUUAAGUCCCGCAACGAGCGCAACCCUUGAUCUUAGUUGCCAGCAAUUCAGUUGGGCACUCUAAGGUGACUGCCGGUGACAAACCGGAGGAAGGUGGGGAUGACGUCAAAUCAUCAUGCCCCUUAUGACCUGGGCUACACACGUGCUACAAUGGACAGAACAAAGGGCAGCGAAACCGCGAGGUUAAGCCAAUCCCACAAAUCUGUUCUCAGUUCGGAUCGGCAGUCUGCAACUCGACUGCGUGAAGCUGGAAUCGCUAGUAAUCGCGGAUCAGCAUGCCGCGGUGAAUACGUUCCCGGGCCUUGUACAACACCGCCCAUCACACCACGAGAGUUUGUAACACCCGAAGUCGGUGAGGUAACCUUUUAGGAGCCA